GUAUAAGCAAUUAUACAGCGAAACUGCGAAUGGCUCAUUAUAUAAGUUAUCGUUUAUUUGAUAGUGCCUUACUACUUGGAUAACCGUGGUAAUUCUAGAGCUAAUACAUGCUAAAAAUCCCGACUUACGGAGGGAUGUAUUUAUUAGAUACAAAACCAAUGCCCUUUGGGCUCUCUGGUGAUUCAUGAUAACUUCUCGGAUCGCACGGCCUUGCGCCGGCGACGGCUCAUUCAAGUUUCUUCCCUAUCAACUUUCGAUGUUUGGGUAUUGGCCAAACAUGGUUGCAACGGGUAACGGAGGGUUAGGGCUCGACCCCGGAGAAGGAGCCUGAGAAACGGCUACUACAUCCAAGGAAGGCAGCAGGCGCGCAAAUUACCCAAUCCCGAUUCGGGGAGGUAGUGACAAUAAAUACUGAUACAGGGCUCUUUCGGGUCUUGUAAUCGGAAUGAGUACAACUUAAAUCCCUUAACGAGGAACAAUUGGAGGGCAAGUCUGGUGCCAGCAGCCGCGGUAAUUCCAGCUCCAAUAGCGUAUAUUAAAGUUGUUGUGGUUAAAAAGCUCGUAGUUGAACCUUGGGCCUGGCUGGCCGGUCCGCCUCACCGCGUGUACUGGUCCGGCCGGGUCUUUCCCUCUGUGGAACCCCAUGCCCUUCACUGGGUGUGGCGGGGAAACAGGACUUUUACUUUGAAAAAAUUAGAGUGCUCCAGGCAGGCCUAUGCUCGAAUACAUUAGCAUGGAAUAAUAAAACAGGACGUGUGGUUCUAUUUUGUUGGUUUCUAGGACCGCCGUAAUGAUUAAUAGGGACAGUCGGGGGCGUCAGUAUUCAGUUGUCAGAGGUGAAAUUCUUGGAUUUACUGAAGACUAACUACUGCGAAAGCAUUCGUCAAGGAUGUUUUCAUUAAUCAGGAACGAAAGUUAGGGGAUCGAAAACGAUCAGAUACCGUUGUAGUCUUAACCAUAAACUAUGCCGACUAGGGAUCGGACGAUGUUAUUUUUUGACUCGUUCGGCACCUUACGAUAAAUCAAAGUGCUUGGGCUC
rnacentral:rRNA from 1 species